rnacentral:rRNA from 1 species
AUUGAACGCUGGCGGCAUGCCUUACACAUGCAAGUCGAACGGCAGCACGGGAGCAAUCCUGGUGGCGAGUGGCGAACGGGUGAGUAAAGUAUCGGAACGUGCCCAGUCGUGGGGAUAACGUAGCGAAAGUUACGCUAAUACCGCAUACGAUCUGAGGAUGAAAGCGGGGGACUAAGCAGCAAUGUUUGGCCUCGCGCCUUUGGAGCGGCCGAUGUCAGAUUAGGUAGUUGGUGGGGUAAAGGCCUACCAAGCCGACGAUCUGUAGCUGGUCUGAGAGGACGACCAGCCACACUGGGACUGAGACACGGCCCAGACUCCUACGGGAGGCAGCAGUGGGGAAUUUUGGACAAUGGGCGCAAGCCUGAUCCAGCAAUGCCGCGUGCAGGAAGAAGGCCUUCGGGUUGUAAACUGCUUUUGUACGGAACGAAAAGGCUCUGGUUAAUACCUGGGGCUCAUGACGGUACCGUAAGAAUAAGCACCGGCUAACUACGUG